UACGAAGGGUGCAAGCGUUACUCGGAAUUACUGGGCGUAAAGCGUGCGUAGGUGGUGAGUUAAGUCUGUCGUGAAAGCCCCGGGCUCAACCUGGGAAUGGCGAUGGAUACUGGCUCGCUAGAGUGCGGUAGAGGAGAGUGGAAUUCCUGGUGUAGCGGUGAAAUGCGCAGAUAUCAGGAAGAACACCAAUGGCGAAAGCAGCUCUCUGGGACGGUACUGACGCUGAGACGCGAAAGCGUGGGGAGCGAACAGG
rnacentral:rRNA from 1 species